CCUGAAGACCCGAAUUCUGCUAAACGUGCCAUAGCAUGCAAGUCAAUACAGCCAUUAGAUCAGGGAGCUCAGGAACAGGUAAGCAUUACAGAAAAAGAGGAGGAUGAGCAAAACAUCUAUUUUUAUAUAUUACAUAUCAAUUCAAUAUAUAAUUAUAUAAAUAUAUAUUUAGUUUUACUACUCUUGCUUUUUUUCUUCUAUUGGUCACUUCUCACUUGAUAUUUGAAUUAAAUCAACAUUUAGUGGCUGUCCCCUAGCCAUCAAUUUUCUUUUUCCUAUCCUAACACUAAUCAAACAAACAUGUAAAAACAUGAUUGCGCAAUUCAUGUGGUCCGUGAAUUGUCAGCGUUUCAGCUCGGAGUUUAGAAAUUCAGGUGAUCAUCCGUUAGGCUCAAAUUUGGAUGAACUGCAGUUUGUAACAAAGACUAAACUAGGAGAUAGUGUUAACACCAUGUCUACAUAACACUAUAUUCACAUUUUGUAUAGAUUCUGCAUCUAGAACUUUAUAGGCCCCAUUCUUCAGUUUUGUAACUUGUAAUUUCAAUACAAGACUUGUUUCAAAAUCUGUAAAAGUGUGCUCCUUAAAGGGCAACUUUAUAUGUAACUUUUUACACUGAACCCAUUUUUCAGUUGUGUCUUCAAAGGGAUUCCUUGUAUUUUAUUUUAGUGCCUGAAAAGUCAACUUCUUCAUUGUAAUUCUAACACGUAGAAGAUAGGAAAAGGUGAUGAUGUAGAGGUCACAGGAUACAUCCUUUUCAGAAUAAAGGGGUUCACUGCCCUGUAUUGCCUUCCUGCUUGGUCUUUUCCAUUUUUCUUCUAUUCUACCAUUUUCAUUUUGAAUUUUUGUGGAAGUCUAAUCUGGUACAUUGCAUGUUAAUAAGCCAGGACGAGUGAUCCUUGUUGAAAAAAUUUAACAUCGAUUUAACUGUUUUGGUACUUUCCAACUUUUUCUUCUUUUUCUUUCAGAAGCUUGUCUUGUCAUUGUCAGAGUCGUCAUGCCUUCAACAUUUAUUUAUUUUCUUUUACACGUCUAUCUCUUAUGGGGCUUAUCUUUUUUUAUACUUUGAACUGCUUUAUUAUUAUUCAUUCUUAUCCAUUAUAGUAUUAU